rnacentral:lncRNA from 1 species
AAACAUCACUCAUAGAAAGAGAGGCAGGUCUAAUGAAACAGUGCUUGAGCCACACAUGAUAUAAGCACAUAAAGGAAGGGGUAAAAAGAAUUUUCUGAAUGCGGUCACAGACAAUGGCAGCCAAGCCGUGCAGGGGAAAGCUUCAGCUGGACUGAAUAAAACCAAGUCAAAUGAGACACGAGAAAUCAUAUAAGUUAAGUCAUAUAAGUCAUAUUAUAGACUUUAGAUGCGUAUCAAGUUUUCAUGUCAUGCUAGGCCAUACCAUUGACUUU